GAGUCCUGGGGCCACCUGCUCGGCGCGGUCCCUCUCUCUCUGGCUCAGUCCCCCCACCCCGAUACGUCUCCUCCUCUCAGAGGCUCCGAGGAAGGGCGUGGGCGCUGGAGGGAGCAGGGCUCAGCCGGGUGCCCCUCCCGCCAGGCCCCACCGGGGCUGAGCCUCUUCUGUCGCCCGCAGGAGACAGAACUCAAGGUGGAAGUACCGGAGUACCUGGGGCCGCUGAUGUUUGUGAAACUGCGCAAACGUCACUUCCUUCAGGUUCUGCAGCUGGAUCUCCGUGUAGGGCCCCGGAGCCGGGGACGAGGUCAGGUUCCCUUGUUACCGCUGGGUGGAGGUCGACGGCGUCCUGAGCCUGCCUGAAGGCACCAGGGCGAGAAGAGGCGCUCACCAAAAGUCACUGGCCAAGCCCUCCUCUGGCCUUCUAGGCCGUACUGUGGGCGACGACCCUCGAGGCCUGUUCCAGAAACACCAGGAAGAGGAGCUGGAAGAGAGAAGGAAGUUGUACCGUCUACAGAGGCUUUUCAUAGCCCUCAUCUUACUUGGCCAUCAGCACAGCUCUCGGAAGAAAGAACUGAAGGGCCAUGUUCAGAGAUCCCACAUCUUGAACUCGGGUCUUCUGACUGCGAGACCAGGGAUCUUUCCAUACUACCCUGAAGCUGGCCCUGUGUGUGGUGUAGAGUUCCUAGAUGACAAGACAGAGUCCAUGUCCUCAAGGAAUGUGCGGUUAUACGAAGGAUGCAGGCACAGAAACACACAAGCCCAGGGAUGGAAGGGUGGAGAAACGCCACCCUCUUGACGAAGAAGAGGGCUCUGGGCAGCCUGUGGCUGGAGAAGUUACCUCGGAUCCUUUAGCCAGAGCAAAUCCGCCCCCUAGUAGCAGCACGAUGCCCCAGGGCACUUUCUCCUGGGUUACCUUCCAAUCCAGCAGGGGAGGGGGAUAAAAUGGAGUUUUCCUUUCUGGGAAGAAAAAGAAACACACACACACACACACACACACACACACACA
rnacentral:lncRNA from 1 species